GUAGCGUGAAGGAUGACUGCCCUAUGGGUUGUAAACUUCUUUUAUACGGGAAUAAAGUGAGGCACGUGUGCCUUUUUGUAUGUACCGUAUGAAUAAGGAUCGGCUAACUCCGUGCCAGCAGCCGCGGUAAUACGGAGGAUCCGAGCGUUAUCCGGAUUUAUUGGGUUUAAAGGGAGCGUAGGCGGACGCUUAAGUCAGUUGUGAAAGUUUGCGGCUCAACCGUAAAAUUGCAGUUGAUACUGGGUGUCUUGAGUACAGUAGAGGCAGGCGGAAUUCGUGGUGUAGCGGUGAAAUGCUUAGAUAUCACGAAGAACCCCGAUUGCGAAGGCAGCUUGCUGGACUGUAACUGACGCUGAUGCUCGAAAGUGUGGGUAUCAAACAGGAUUAGAUACCCUGGUAGUCCACACAGUAAACGAUGAAUACUCGCUGUUUGCGAUAUACAGUAAGCGGCCAAGCGAAAGCGUUAAGUAUUCCACCUGGGGAGUACG
rnacentral:rRNA from 1 species